rnacentral:rRNA from 1 species
UACGAAGGGGGCUAGCGUUGUUCGGAAUUACUGGGCGUAAAGCGCACGUAGGCGGAUAUUUAAGUCAGGGGUGAAAUCCCAGAGCUCAACUCUGGAACUGCCUUUGAUACUGGGUAUCUCGAGUAUGGAAGAGGUAAGUGGAAUUCCGAGUGUAGAGGUGAAAUUCGUAGAUAUUCGGAAGAACACCAGUGGCGAAGGCGGCUCACUGGCCCGGUACUGACGCUGAGGUGCGAAAGCGUGGGGAGCAAACAGG